AUUGAACGCUGGCGGCAUGCCUUACACAUGCAAGUCGAACGGCGUGGCGAACGGGUGAGUAAUGUAUAGGUAUGUGCCCAGUAGUGGGGGAUAACUACCAGAAAGGGAAGCUAAUACCACAUACUAUUGGAGUGGCAGAUGUCGGAUUAGCUAGUUGGUGGGGUAACGGCUCACCAAGGCGACGAUCCGUAGCUGGUUUGAGAGGACGACCAGCCACACUGGGACUGAGACACGGCCCAGACUCCUACGGGAGGCAGCAGUGGGGAAUGUUGGACAAUGGGGGAAAGCCUGAUCCAGCCAUGCCGCGUGUGGGAUGAAGGCCUUCGGGUUGUAAAGUCCUUUUGGCAGGGAAGCGGUACCUGCAGAAUAAGCACCGGCUAACUACGUGCCAGCAGCCGCGGUAAUAC
rnacentral:rRNA from 1 species